rnacentral:rRNA from 2 species
AGAGUUUGAUCCUGGCUCAGGACGAACGCUGGCGGCGUGCCUAAUACAUGCAAGUCGAGCGGACUUUAAAAGCUUGCUUUUAAAGUUAGCGGCGGACGGGUGAGUAACACGUGGGCAACCUGCCUGUAAGACUGGGAUAACUUCGGGAAACCGGAGCUAAUACCGGAUAAUCCUUUUYCUCUCAUGAGGAAAAGCUGAAAGACGGUUUACGCUGUCACUUACAGAUGGGCCCGCGGCGCAUUAGCUAGUUGGUGAGGUAACGGCUCACCAAGGCRACGAUGCGUAGCCGACCUGAGAGGGUGAUCGGCCACACUGGGACUGAGACACGGCCCAGACUCCUACGGGAGGCAGCAGUAGGGAAUCUUCCGCAAUGGACGAAAGUCUGACGGAGCAACGCCGCGUGAGUGAUGAAGGUUUUCGGAUCGUAAAACUCUGUUGUUAGGGAAGAACAAGUACAAGAGUAACUGCUUGUACCUUGACGGUACCUAACCAGAAAGCCACGGCUAACUACGUGCCAGCAGCCGCGGUAAUACGUAGGUGGCAAGCGUUGUCCGGAAUUAUUGGGCGUAAAGCGCGCGCAGGCGGUCCUUUAAGUCUGAUGUGAAAGCCCACGGCUCAACCGUGGAGGGUCAUGAAACUGGGACUUGAGUGCAGAAGAGAAGAGUGGAUGCGAAUGCGUAGAGAUGUGGAGGAACACCAGUGCGAAGGCGA